rnacentral:misc_RNA from 1 species
GAAGACAAUCAAGCCCUCUGGCUUGGCCUUGAGGCUGCCGUCCCUUCAGCGGGGCGGCCUCUAAAUCAGUCGGCGGUGGCCUGGAGCCUCUAGCGUAGUAGAAUACAUUCCGCUUAGAGUCUCUCGUGCUUCCAGCCUCCAGACCCCCAAACACAUUCUAA